rnacentral:lncRNA from 1 species
CUCGAGGUUUGUUUUUCUCCGGUGCAGCCUGGUAGGGAGGGCUCCCGGCAUCUCCCUGCGUCGGGGCAGAGGAUGCCGAGGGUAGAGUACCGGAGGGCUGGAGCGAGGGUGGACUGGAGGUGCCGCUUGUCCUGGAGGUGGGAGAGAGGGAGCGGCUUUGCCGCCUGGCCUGCGUCCUAAUCCUGCCCUGGUUCUUCUGCUCCCGAAGGGAACGCAGGUCCCGCGCCUGUGACAAAAUCUCGCUGUCUCCUUCCAACCACCUGUGGUCGGCAUCCCCGCGUUGUCACUGCGACGCAGAGGCGAGCGAGGGGGCGGGAAGCACCCGCGGGGCGGGGAGGGACCCUGCGGGCGCGGACUCCACACCAAGCCUCUGCUCAGCGUCACCCCGCUUGCUGUGUCCUCGCAGGUCGCAGCUUCAUGGCCUGAUGCCGUCAGGAAGUAUUUUGAAGUCAUCGUGGCUGUGGAUUGGGGGAUUUCUUGUUUCCACUGACCUGUGAGGCCGCGCACGUGGAGGGAGGCACCCCGGGUCCUCCGGCACUGUCCGGCCUCGCCUGUGUCCCUAGUAGCAGUGGGCAUUUCCAGACGGUGCAGCUUGUGGCUAAAGUGACAGGAAGAUGUAGGAGCUUUCAGUCUUGGAUGAGGAUUCGAACUGAAAGGGUUAGGCCCAGCUGUCUUGGAGCAAAACAUCUGUUGUGGGAUGUGGCGGCAGAGGAGGGCAAGGCCGAAGGAGCAGACAGCACCGCUUCUUGGGGAGUUGUGAAGGCAUCAUGCGGAGGGCCGAGCUUAGCAGCCAAGUGGAGGACAGCAACCUCCAUGCCUGGAUUCGUUACUCGCUCGUUCUAGAUGUUGAGCUGCUGGCAUAUUGCAGCACAACUAGAGAUGUACGGAUGCCCCCAUCUUGAUCUUACAGAAUCAGAGGUGCAGCCGCAAGAAAGCUACACCCUCUCGGUUUUCUCUGCUCUGCCAACACUAGUGGAAUAUGAUCACAUCCCAGGGAUCAGUGUCAUUUAGGGAUGUGACUAUGGGCUUCACUCAAGAGGAGUGGCAGCAUCUGGACCCUGCUCAGAGGACCCUGUACAGGAAUGUGAUGCUGGAGAACUACAGCCACCUUGUCUCAGUAGGGUAUUGCAUUCCUAAACCAGAAGUGAUCCUCAAAUUGGAGACAGGCAAGGAGCCAUGGAUAUUAGAGGAAAAAUUUCGAAGCCAGAGUCAUCUGGGUGGGUUAGUGCCAGAUGGAAUUUAAAGAAUUAAUUAAUACCAGUAGAAACUAUUCAAGAACGAAGUUCAAUGAGUUUAACAAAGGUGGAAAAUGUUUCUGUGAUGAAAGCAUGAAAUAAUUCAUUUUGAAGAGGAACCUUCUGAAUAUAAUAAAAAUGGGAACAGCUUCUGGCUGAAUGAAGACCUCAUUUGGCAUCAGAAGAUUAAAAAUUGGGAGCAACCUUUUGAAUACAAUGAAUGUGGGAAAGCUUUCCCUGAGAAUUCACUCUUCCUUGUACAUAAGAGAGCUUACACAGGACAGAAAACAUGCAAAUAUACUGAACAUGGGAAAACCUGUUAUAUGUCAUUUUUUAUUACUCAUCAGCAAACACAUCCAAGAGAGAACCACUAUGAAUGUAAUGAAUGUGGAGAAAGUAUCUUUGAGGAAUCCAUUCUCUUUGAACAUCAGAAUGUUUACCCAUUCAGCCAGAAUUUAAAUCCCACUCUAAUUCCGAGAACCCACUCAAUUAGCAAUAUUAUUGAAUAUAAUGAAUGUGGAACCUUUUUCAGUGAAAAAUUAGCCCUUCAUUUACAACAGAGAACACAUCCAGGGGAAAAACCUUAUGAAUAUCAUGAAUGUGGAAAAACCUUCACCCAGAAGUCAGCCCACACAAGACAUCAGAGAACACACACAGGGAAAACCCUAUGAAUGUCAUGGAUGUGGGAAGACCUUCUAUAAGAAUUCAGACCUCAUUAGAAAUCAAAGAAUUCACACAGGGGAGAGACCUUACAGAUGUCAUGAAUGGAGAAAUCCUUCAGUGAAAAGUCAUCCCUUACUCAACAUCAGAGAACACACGCGGGGAGAAAUCAUAUGAAUGUCAUGAAUGUGGGAAAACCUCGUUUAAGUCAGUUCUAACUGUGCAUCAGAAAACACACAGGGGAGAAGCCCUAUGAAUGCUAUGCAUGUGGGAACACCUUUCUUGGAAAAUCCGACCUCAUUAAACAUCAGAGAAUUCACACAGGAGAAAAACCUUAUGAAUGUAAUGAAUGUGGGAAGUCAUUCUCUGAGAAGUCAACCCUUACUAAACAUCUAAGAACACACAGAUGGGAAAUCUUAUGAAUGUAUUCAAUGUGGAAAAUUUUUCUGCUGCUACUACAGUUUCACAGAACAUCUGAGAAGACACACAGGGGAGAAACCUUUUGGAUGUAAUGAAUGUGGGAAAACCUUCCAUCAGAAGUCGGCCCUAAUUGUUCACCAGAGAACUCAUAUAAGACAGAAACCCUAUGGAUGUAAUGAAUAUGGAAAAUCAUUCUGUGUGAAGUCAAAACUCAUUGCACAUCAUAGAACAUACAAAGGGGAGAAACCCUAUGAAUGUAAUGUUUGUGGAAAAUUAUUAUUAAGUCAAAACUAACUGUACAUCACAGAACACACUUGAGGUGAAACCCUAU